rnacentral:tmRNA from 1 species
UAAAAAAACACCGGACUCGCUGUCGGUUUUCCCUGCCCGUCGGGUAGCUGCCAGUUAAAUCAAAGACGUGUGCUACGCAUGUAGAGCUGAGGGCGGAGGGCUUGCGGACGCGGGUUCGAUUCCCGCCGCCUCCACCA